rnacentral:siRNA from 1 species
AUUCUACCGUUUACGGAUUUACGU